AGAUUAAAACUCAAAGGAAUUGACGGGGACCCGCACAAGCGGUGGAUGAUGUGGAUUAAUUCGAUGCAACGCGAAAAACCUUACCUACCCUUGACAUGGAUGGAAUCCUUGAGAGAUUGAGGAGUGCUCGAAAGAGAACCAUUACACAGGUGCUGCAUGGCUGUCGUCAGCUCGUGUCGUGAGAUGUUGGGUUAAGUCCCGCAACGAGCGCAACCCUUGUCAUUAGUUGCUACGAAAGGGCACUCUAAUGAGACUGCCGGUG
rnacentral:rRNA from 1 species